rnacentral:rRNA from 1 species
UACGAAGGGGGCUAGCGUUGUUCGGAAUUACUGGGCGUAAAGCGCACGUAGGCGGAUAUUUAAGUCAGGGGUGAAAUCCCGGGGCUCAACCCCGGAACUGCCUUUGAUACUGGGUAUCUUGAGUUCGGAAGAGGUGAGUGGAAUUGCGAGUGUAGAGGUGAAAUUCGUAGAUAUUCGCAGGAACACCAGUGGCGAAGGCGGCUCACUGGUCCGAUACUGACGCUGAGGUGCGAAAGCGUGGGAGCAACAGG